CCUACGGGAGGCAGCAGUGAGGAAUAUUGGUCAAUGGACGAAAGUCUGAACCAGCCAAGUAGCGUGAAGGAUGACUGCCCUCUGGGUUGUAAACUUCUUUUAUAUGGGAGUAAAAUGUUCCACGUGUGGGAUUUUGUAUGUACCAUAUGAAUAAGGAUCGGCUAACUCCGUGCCAGCAGCCGCGGUAAUACGGAGGAUCCGAGCGUUAUCCGGAUUUAUUGGGUUUAAAGGGAGCGUAGGUGGAUUGGUAAGUCAGUUGUGAAAGGUUGCGGCUCAACCGUAAAAUUGCAGUUGAAACUGGAAGUCUAGAGUACAGUAGAGGUGGGCGGAAUUCGUGGUGUAGCAGUGAAAUGCGUAGAUAUCACGAAGAACUCCGAUGGCGAAGGCAGCUCACUGGACUGCAACUGACACUGAGGCACGAAAGUGUGGGUAUCAAACAGGAUUAGAUACCCCAGUAGUC
rnacentral:rRNA from 1 species